UGCCAGCCGCCGCGGUAAUACGGAGGGUGCAAGCGUUGUUCGGAAUUAUUGGGCGUAAAGCGCGUGUAGGCGGUUCGUUAAGUCUGAUGUGAAAGCCCGGGGCUCAACCCCGGAAGUGCAUUGGAAACUGGCGAACUUGAGUACGGGAGAGGAAAGUGGAAUUCCGAGUGUAGGGGUGAAAUCCGUAGAUAUUCGGAGGAACACCAGUGGCGAAGGCGGCUUUCUGGACCGAUACUGACGCUGAGACGCGAAAGCGUGGGGAGCAAACAGGAUUAGAUA
rnacentral:rRNA from 1 species